rnacentral:rRNA from 1 species
CAUAUCAAUAAGCGGAGGAAAAGAAACUAACAAGGAUUCCCCUAGUAACUGCGAGUGAAGCGGGAAAAGCUCAAAUUUAAAAUCUGUCAGUCUUUGGCUGUCCGAGUUGUAAUCUAGAGAAGCGUUAUCCGCGCUGGACCGUGUACAAGUCUCCUGGAAUGGAGCGUCAUAGAGGGUGAGAAUCCCGUCUUUGACACGGACUACCAGGGCUUUGUGAUGCGCUCUCAAAGAGUCGAGUUGUUUGGGAAUGCAGCUCAAAAUGGGUGGUAAAUUCCAUCUAAAGCUAAAUAUUGGCGAGAGACCGAUAGCGAACAAGUACCGUGAGGGAAAGAUGAAAAGAACUUUGGAAAGAGAGUUAAACAGUACGUGAAAUUGCUGAAAGGGAAACGCUUGAAGUCAGUCGCGUUGUCCAGGGAUCAACCUUGCUUUUGCUUGGUGUACUUUCUGGUUGACGGGUCAGCAUCAAUUUUGACCAUUGGAAAAAUAUUAGGGGAAUGUGGCAUCUUUGGAUGUGUUAUAGCCCUUGGUUGCAUACAAUGGUUGGGAUUGAGGAACUCAGCACGCCGCAAGGCCGGGUUUUUAACCACGUACGUGCUUAGGAUGCUGGCAUAAUGGCUUUAAUCGACCCGUCUUGAAACACGGACCAAGGAGUCUAACAUGCCUGCGAGUGUUUGGGUGGAAAACCCGAGCGCGUAAUGAAAGUGAAAGUUGAGAUCCCUGUCGUGGGGAGCAUCGACGCCCGGACCAGACCUUUUGUGACGGUUCCGCGGUAGAGCAUGUAUGUUGGGACCCGAAAGAUGGUGAACUAUGCCUGAAUAGGGUGAAGCCAGAGGAAACUCUGGUGGAGGCUCGUAGCGAUUCUGACGUGCAAAUCGAUCGUCAAAUUUGGGUAUAGGGGCGAAAGACUAAUCGAACCAUCUAGUAGCUGG